GGCAACGUGGCCGAGUGGUUAAGGCGCUGGAAUUAGGAAUUUCAUAUUCGAAAUCCAGUGGGAAACCGCGUGAGUUCGAACCUCACCGUUGUCA